rnacentral:rRNA from 1 species
UUGAUCCUGGCUCAGAAUCAACGCUGGCGGCGUGCCUAAUACAUGCAAGUCGAACGCGAAAGUCCCGCAAGGGGUGAGUAGAGUGGCAAACGGGUGAGUUACGCGUGGGUGACCUGCCUUCGAGUGGGGGAUAACGUUUCGAAAGGAACUCUAAUACCGCAUGACAUCCUGCUUUUUAACAGGCGGAGAUCAAAGCCGGUGAUCGCAAGACCUGGCGCUUGAAGAGGGGCCCGCGUCCGAUUAGCUAGUUGGUGGGGUAACGGCUCACCAAGGCAUCGAUCGGUAGCCGGCCUGAGAGGUCGGACGGCCACACUGGGACUGAGACACGGCCCAGACUCCUACGGGAGGCUGCAGUAGGGAAUUGUUCGCAAUGGGCGCAAGCCUGACGACGCAACGCCGUGUGGAGGAUGAAGACCUUCGGGUCGUAAACUCCUUUCGAUCGAGACGAAUGGCCUCCGGGUGAACAAUCCAGAGGAAUGACGGUACCGAGAGAAGAAGCUCCGGCUAACUCCGUGCCAGCAGCCGCGGUAAUAAGGU